rnacentral:tRNA from 1 species
GCAUUGGUGAUUCAGUGGUAGAAUUCUCACCCACCAUGCUGACGGCCUGGGUUCAAUUCCCGGCCAAUGCC